UCAAGAUUAGCAAACUUAAUGCUUUUAACAUUUUAAAACAAUUUUAUUGUUAAAAACAUCGAAUUUAUACUGAUCUUGAAUUAUGCAUAAUUGAUUUUCCUAGUUAGUUUUUUCAAUUAAAAGGGCUGAAAUGCGUCUUAAAAACCAUCAUUCAAAAGGCUGAACCGUGUGCUUUAAAUACAAAAAGGUCUUUCCUUGCAUGGAACUUCCCACUCAUACUGCAUUAUGCAGUAUAUUUCUCAUAAUUAGAGACCUUUAGUUUGACAUUUACGGCUAACUCCAAACCGUUACGUAAUAAACAAUAGUGUGACAUUGUGUGGAUGUUCAAGAGGACUAAGCAAGCCUAAGGACAGCAGUAUGUAAAGAUGCAACUAGAUAUUAUAUCUAGCGUUAAUAUCUUUGCGUUAAUAAUUAGAUAUAAUAGUUCGAGACAUUCUCUCAAGCAAAUAUAAUUAACUUGUUAUUUCAAACUCUAAAUUUUUGUUUAGAUUGCAGAUGUAAUGUCUAAUGAGCAAUGGUGUAAUCGUAAUGUCUAAUGAUGUAAUUUUUACGGCAAUAUUAAAGAGAU